AUGACUCUUUAGACCUGAGAAGCAAUUCUCUUUUAUUUAAAAUAUCUGCAAGUGUUUGAAUUGAUACUGGUGCACACGGGCUGACACUCUGCAGAUGCAAACGUGCCGUUGAAACAAAGCAAGAGUGCUGUGUGGCUCCCAGAGCCUUGCCUGGGCCUGCGUUUCCUCCUCUUCCACUCAAGACUCACGUUAGCAGGGUUUUCCUGUUUCUAGACAACAGUCAUCAGCAUCAGAGAAGAAGGACUUGAAUUGUCUCUGACUUUCAGAACAGGGUUACAGACAACAUAGACAAACUCCGGGGAGAAUUUAUUGGAUGAAUAGUCAAAGCCUGAGAUCUAGGAGCUGGAGCAGUGAGCAGGUUGAUGCUACAAACUGGAUCCCGGGGCUCCCGAAGCCGAGUCUAAGGACCUUUCCUCUGCAGCUGACGCCUUCACGCCUGGUCUUUGGUGACUUGUCAUCAGCCCUCAGGAAGACAGGGCUGUGCCCUACAGCACGGACACCGAUAUCAUCAUUUCUCUGUAUCAGGCACUUCUCAGGCAAAGGGAAUGUUGGGAGAGGAAUGCAGUUUUUAAAGUUUUUUUUUAAAUUGAUAUAUUUUAUUUGAACUGUUAUAUAGUAUAGAAACAUUUUGUAGAACAGCAAAUGUUAUUAAUUUAGAAAGCGGUUUACCAUAAAAGAGAGACAUGGAAAAUAUUCAUGUGCUGGGCUGGAGGAGUGCUUGGCUGGUAUGUGUGAGGUCCUGGGUUCAAUCCCGAGGAAACCUCCUCCCCACAAAGGAAAAAAAAAAGCAGAAAAUGUUACAUGAUGACAUUUCAGAAUUCACUGCAAGUUUUUGAAGGUUCUGUGGAGGAUGAUUGACAUAAACUCCACAUAUUUGAAGGACAUGGUUUGGUAUAUUUUGGCACAUAUUGUACACAUCUGGAAAACUGCCACCUUGAUGAAGAUAAUGAGUUUACCUCACCCCUGGAUGUCUCCUUGUGCCUUUGCCUUUGUAUUCCUUCCCUGGCCUUGCUGUUCCUAAGCGCCUACUGUUUAUGUCCCCUGGAUUGGCUUGCAUUCUUUAGAGUAAAUAGG
ensembl:lncRNA